rnacentral:misc_RNA from 1 species
CAGAGUUGCAAAACUCCCACAAACCAUCGCGAAUCUUACCCGUACGGUUGCCUCGGCGCUGGCGGUCCGGAAGGCCCUCGGGCCCCCGCGGAUCCUCGGGUCUCCCCGCUCGCGGGAGGCUGCCCGCCGGAGUGCCGAAACCAAACUCUUGAUAUUUUAUGUCUCUCUGAGUAAACUUUUAAAUAAGUCA